rnacentral:rRNA from 1 species
UACGUAGGGGGCAAGCGUUGUCCGGAUUUAUUGGGCGUAAAGAGCGUGUAGGCGGCUUGGUAGGUCUCGCGUCAAAACCUGAGGCUCAACCUCAGUUCGCGUGGGAAACCACCUAGCUAGAGUCCGGAAGAGGAGAACGGAAUUCCCAGUGUAGCGGUGAAAUGCGCAGAUAUCGGGAGGAACACCAAUGGCGAAGGCAGCUCGGCUGGGACGUUACGUGACGCUGAGGAGCGAAAGCGAUGGGGAGCAAACAGGG